GCCGGGAUGGCGGAACGGUAGACGCAGAGGUCUUAAAAACCUCGGCCUCGCGGCGUGGGGGUUCGAGCCCCCCUCCCGGCA
rnacentral:tRNA from 1 species